CGUAACUAUAACGGUCCUAAGGUAGCGAAAUUCCUUGUCGGGUAAGUUCCGACCUGCACGAAUGGCGUAAUGAUGGCCAGGCUGUCUCCACCCGAGACUCAGUGAAAUUGAACUCGCUGUGAAGAUGCAGUGUACCCGCGGCAAGACGGAAAGACCCCGUGAACCUUUACUAUAGCUUGACACUGAACAUUGAGCCUUGAUGUGUAGGAUAGGUGGGAGGCUUUGAAGUGUGGACGCCAGUCUGCAUGGAGCCGGCCUUGAAAUACCACCCUUUAAUGUUUGAUGUUCUAACGUGGACCCGUGAUCCGGGUUGCGGACAGUGUCUGGUGGGUAGUUUGACUGGGGCGGUCUCCUCCUAAAGAGUAACGGAGGAGCACGAAGGUUGGCUAAUCCUGGUCGGACAUCAGGAGGUUAGUGCAAUGGCAUAAGCCAGCUUGACUGCGAGCGUGACGGCGCGAGCAGGUGCGAAAGCAGGUCAUAGUGAUCCGGUGGUUCUGAAUGGAAGGGCCAUCGCUCAACGGAUAAAAGGUACUCCGGGGAUAACAGGCUGAUACCGCCCAAGAGUUCAUAUCGACGGCGGUGUUUGGCACCUCGAUGUCGGCUCAUCACAUCCUGGGGCUGAAGUAGGUCCCAAGGGUAUGGCUGUUCGCCAUUUAAAGUGGUACGCGAGCUGGGUUUAGAACGUCGUGAGACAGUUCGGUCCCUAUCUGCCGUGGGCGCUGGAGAACUGAGGGGGGCUGCUCCUAGUACGAGAGGACCGGAGUGGACGCAUCACUGGUGUUCGGGUUGUCAUGCCAAUGGCACUGCCCGGUAGCUAAAUGCGGAAGAGAUAAGUGCUGAAAGCAUCUAAGCACGAAACUUGCCCCGAGAUGAGUUCUCCCUGACCCUUUAAGGGUCCUGAAGGAACGUUGAAGACGACGACGUUGAUAGGCCGGGUGUGUAAGCGCAGCGAUGCGUUGAGCUAACCGGUACUAAUGAACCGUGAGG
rnacentral:rRNA from 2 species